rnacentral:rRNA from 1 species
AUUGAACGCUGGCGGCAGGCCUAACACAUGCAAGUCGAACGAGUGGCGGACGGGUGAGUAAUGUCUGGGAAACUGCCCGAUGGAGGGGGAUAACUACUGGAAACGGUAGCUAAUACCGCAUACCAUCGGAUGUGCCCAGAUGGGAUUAGCUUGUAGGUGAGGUAACGGCUCACCUAGGCGACGAUCACUAGCUGGUCUGAGAGGAUGACCAGCCACACUGGAACUGAGACACGGUCCAGACUCAGACAGUAGGCAGCAGUGGGGAAAAUUGGACAAUGGGCGCAAGCCUGAUGCAGCCAUGCCGCGUGUAUGAAGAAGGCAUUCGGGUUGUAAAGGACUUUCAGCUGGGAAGCGGUACCCGAAGAAGAAGCACCGGCUAACUCCGUGCCAGCAGCCGCGGUAAUUC